rnacentral:rRNA from 1 species
CAGACUCCUACGGGAGGCAGCAGUGGGGAAUCUUGCGCGAAUUGGACGAAAGUCUGGAACCGCAGCAACGCCGACGUGAGGGACGAAGGGCUUUCUGACGUUGGUAAACCUACUUUCGUACAGGAACGAUUGUGACGGUACCUCGUAGAAGAAGCACCGGCCAACUAUGUGCCAGCAGCCGCGGUAAUUC